UCGCGCUCCGCGGCCAGAAGUGUGCACAAACUCAUGCACGGAGGUGCUGCUGGCACGGCACGGCACGGAGCAGCCCUGUAGUACUCACUGCUGACCCACUGCACCUUCCCCAGCACAUCCCGCACCGGCACCAGUUCGCAAACUGGUUGUGCUGGGAAGCUGCCUCUGGGGACGGGUGCGGUGCCCCGCAGAGGGUCUCCGAUCGAGGAGCUGUAAAGUUCGCGUGCAAGCAGCACAAGAACUGCUCAAACAAGGCUGAAGAACACGAAAAUCAGGCAGAGAAAAAGAAGCAUGCUUUCCCCUUACCUAUUGCCUCUGCUCAAACGCCGGGCAGUGCCUUUAGGGAGCCCGGGCAUUUGGAGCCACCGGGCAGAGGACUUUGGGCACAUGCACCCAGAGCCCGGCAAAAGCCAUCUUCUCCCUGCCUCUUAGCACGGUGCAAGCCUCCAGCAGCUCAGCUCUCCAGCUGCAAACAUCUCAUUAGACUAAUGCAUUCAGCACAGGCAGAAAACUCGAUUUACCAUAGCUACAGCAAUGAAUUUCCAUUACGAUGACAGCUUCAACCACAUCAUGUCCGGAAAACCAGCCAACCACUGCCUUUUAAAGAACACACACAUUUUACACGCAGAAAACGAGGGCCCGUGUGCCGUGUCUCCUUUCUCUUCCCGGCUAAACGGAGAAAAAAUUGCCAUGUCUGCCUAGUUCAGAGCUCCACGACCCAAAAGGUAAAGGCAGACGGACUUUUUUCUUUUUUUUUUAUUCCCCCACAUAGCAGCAGCUUUCGCAGCAGCGUGCGGUGCGGUGCACCGAGCCGAGCGGGUGCUUGCAACAUUUCUACAUUUUACCUACCCCUCCUCUGUUGCCAUAGAAACCUGCCUGUAUCAUCGUCCCUUUGUCCCGAUCCUGCAGCAAUGUGGCCCGAUACCGAGCUACCGUGAGGGGCAGGACCGGGCGCUCCAGUUUGGGAUAAAUGAGAUGCCAACUGGGGGAGUGGUGCUUGGGACCUUUGUGCCGGCAACCCCAGGAGCACCUGGGUACUGCAGUGCCCACACUCACACAUCUCCACGCACGUACACGGAGCCUGGAGCCCAAAGAUAUAUCUUACAGCAGACUUCCAAUGGACCACAUAUCUGCCUGUCUGGUGCUAGCAGUGAUGCUCAAACCCCAAUGCACCUGCAGAUGCUGCACAAGAAGGUCACGCAUUCACUGCCCUGUUGAUGCAAGUGUUUCCAAAUCUGUCCCCUGCAGAACACAUGCAAUGCUGCAGCAUCACACAAC
rnacentral:lncRNA from 1 species